CUCGGUAAUGAUGUAGCUCAAGUAGGCAGAAGUCAGCAUAGGUCAUAGUAGCCGACCGCUCAUGGUAAUGCCUGAGACAUGGUGAAGGGC
rnacentral:ncRNA from 1 species